rnacentral:rRNA from 1 species
AUACUGAGGGUGCAAGCGUUAAUCGGAAUUACUGGGCGUAAAGCGCACGUAGGCGGUUUAUUAAGUCAGAUGUGAAAGCCCUGGGCUUAACCUGGGAACUGCAUUUGAGACUGGUAGGCUAGAGUAUGGUAGAGGAUAGUGGAAUUCCGGGUGUAGCGGUGAAAUGCGUAGAUAUCCGGAGGAACAUCAGUGGCGAAGGCGGCUAUCUGGACCAAUGCUGACGCUGAGGUGCGAAAGCGUGGGGAGCAAACAGGAUUAGAAACCCUAGUAGUCC